UAUCUACCAUGUAUAUAUUAUACAUAUUUGCGUGAAAGCAGGAAAAGCAGGAGAAAACACUUGGAUCAAACUACAUGUGAAAUAACUCUAAAAGAGAAAGAGAGAAGGUAAGCAAGCAAAAGGAAGAGGGGAGGGGAGUAAAGCAUUCAACUCUUCAACUCUUAAGGCUAGAUAGAUAGAAAUCAAGUGCCAUCUGCGCCGGAGGACUCGAGGAGCGGCAUGAGGAGAGUGUUUGGAUUUGUGUAUCAUCAUCAUAUGGCAUGAUGUGUUAUGGAAACUUGAAGGGGCCGUGGAUUGCAGCUUUAUGGACAUACAAAAUACAUCUUGUUUAUGUGCAUGUGGAAGUUUUGAAGUUGAGGUGGCAUGGGUAUAGCCCCCUCCAGAGGAAGUAAGGUCGAUCUAAGGAAAACCAAAGCACUGAACUGUGUCGUGGUGGAAGUGAGGAAAUAAUGAAUACCUAUCUUGCGGGCGGGGAGGCUAAAAGAAGAGAGAGAGAGAGAGAGAGAGAGAGAGGAGAGAAAUAUGAACAAAGAAAGAAAGAAAAAGUCAAAGACAUGAGAGAUGUGAACAGAAUAAGAGAAAUAGAAAAGAAAAAAGAUAAACAGAUUGGAUAGAUAAUCACACACUGUCGAUGAGUUUCAAAAUACAAUAAUCCCUUUAUGGCCCCUGAUAUCA
rnacentral:sRNA from 1 species